rnacentral:rRNA from 1 species
UACGUAGGUGGCGAGCGUUGUCCGGAUUUACUGGGCGUAAAGCGCGCGCAGGCGGACUGAUCAGUCUGGGGUGAAAUCUCACGGCUCAACUGUGAGCGGUCCCUGGAUACUGUCAGUCUUGAGAUGUCUAGAGGAGAGCGGAAUUCCCGGUGUAGUGGUGGAAUGCGUAGAUAUUGGGAGGAACACCGGUGGCGAAGGCGGCUCACUGGACCGGAACUGACGCUGAGGCGCGAAAGCGUGGGGAGCAAACGGG